GGAGCUUGCUCCCGGAUGUUAGCGGCGGACGGGUGAGUAACACGUGGGUAACCUGCCUGUAAGACUGGGAUAACUCCGGGAAACCGGAGCUAAUACCGGAUAGUUCCUUGAACCGCAUGGUUCAAGGAUGAAAGACGGUUUCGGCUGUCACUUACAGAUGGACCCGCGGCGCAUUAGCUAGUUGGUGGGGUAAUGGCUCACCAAGGCGACGAUGCGUAGCCGACCUGAGAGGGUGAUCGGCCACACUGGGACUGAGACACGGCCCAGACUCCUACGGGAGGCAGCAGUAGGGAAUCUUCCGCAAUGGACGAAAGUCUGACGGAGCAACGCCGCGUGAGUGAUGAAGGUUUUCGGAUCGUAAAGCUCUGUUGUUAGGGAAGAACAAGUGCGAGAGUAACUGCUCGCACCUUGACGGUACCUAACCAGAAAGCCACGGCUAACUACGUGCCAGCAGCCGCGGUAAUACGUAGGUGGCAAGCGUUGUCCGGAAUUAUUGGGCGUAAAGGGCUCGCAGGCGGUUUCUUAAGUCUGAUGUGAAAGCCCCCGGCUCAACCGGGGAGGGUCAUUGGAAACUG
rnacentral:rRNA from 1 species